rnacentral:rRNA from 1 species
UCUGACUGUGCUAAGGUAGCAUAAUAAUUCGUCUUUUUAUUGAAGUCUAGAAUAAAUGGUUAGACGAAGAAAUUAUAUUUUUAAGAUGGUUUAAAUAAUUUUUUUCAAGAGUUAAAAAUCUUUUAGCCUCUAAGGGGACGACAAGACCCUAAAAUCUGUCUUAAUAAUAAGCCUAAGAAAUAAAACAAAUAAAGACUUACUGGGGCGGUAAACCUUAUUAAACAACCUAAACUAUUACACUAUUAGUGAAGUUCCACAGCCUUUAUGAAAAUAAAAAGAUACUUUAGGGAUAACAGCAUUAUUUUUCUAUAGAGCUCUUAUCGCUAGAGAAGAUUAGGACCUCGAUGUUGAAUUAAGGAAACUGAGAUGACAAGGUAUGGAUUAUGACCUCGGAUGUUGAAAUUGAAAUUUUCUGUACUUAGCAGGAU